GACGAACGCUGGCGGCGUGCCUAAUACAUGCAAGUAGAACGCAGUUGCGAACGGGUGAGUAACGCGUAGGUAACUGCCUGGUAGCGGGGGAUAACUAAUGGACACGAUAGCUAAUACCGCAUACUAGCAGAUGGACAUGCGUUGUAUUAGCUUGUUAGUGUGGUAACGGCUCACCAAGGCAACGAUACAUAGCCGACCUGAGAGGGGGAUCGGCCCAACUGGUACUGGGACACGGCCCAGACUCCUACGGGAGGCAGCAGAAGGGAAUCUUCGGCAAUGGGGGGAACCCUGACCGAGCAACGCCGCGUGAGUGAAGAAGGUUUUCGGAUCGUAAAGCUCUGUUGUUAAGGAAGCGGUACUUAACCAGAAAGGGACGGCUAACUACGUGCCAGCAGCCGCGGUAAUUC
rnacentral:rRNA from 1 species